ACAUAUACGGAUAUACCUCCAGAAAAAGCAGACGGUCCCGGGAAACAAGUCUGGAACCUUCCAAAAUCCAUUUCCCCAUCUCUCGUCUCCUCCUCCUAGUUCUACCGAAACCCAAACCAAACCCUAUCCAUGGCGGAGCAUUUGGCUUCGAUCUUUGGCACAGAGAAGGACCGCGUCAACUGUCCCUUUUAUUUCAAGAUCGGCGCCUGUCGUCACGGUGACCGUUGCUCUCGCCUCCAUAAUCGCCCCACGACCUCCCCGACUCUCUUACUGUCAAACAUGUACCAGCGCCCUGACAUGAUCACUCCAGGCGUCGACGCCCAGGGCCAGCCAAUCGACCCUCGCAAAAUCCAAGAACACUUUGAGGACUUCUACGAAGACAUCUUUGAAGAACUCGGCAAGUUCGGUGAGAUCGAGAGCCUUAAUGUCUGCGAUAACCUCGCCGACCACAUGAUCGGAAAUGUUUAUGUCCAGUUUAAAGAGGAAGACCAAGCUGCCGCCGCUUUACAAGCUCUGCAAGGAAGAUUUUAUUCCGGUCGUCCGAUAAUAGCCGAUUUCUCUCCAGUGACGGAUUUCCGUGAAGCCACGUGUCGGCAAUUCGAGGAGAAUAACUGUAACCGAGGCGGGUAUUGUAAUUUUAUGCACGUGAAACUGAUUGGGCGGGAUUUAAGGAGGAAGCUAUUUGGGAGGUACCGUGGAUAUCGUAUUAGUAGAAGCAGGAGCCGGAGUCUGAGUCCGAGACACAGAAGAGAUAAGGAUUAUUAUGAUAGGCGUGAUAGAGAUAGAGAUUAUAGGGAUAGGGACCGGGACCGGGACCGUGGAAGGUACAAAUAUGAUAGAGACAGCAGAGACAGAGAUGAUAGAAAGAGAAUACACUCUACGCCUAGAAGGAGCAGGAGUCCUGUUAGAGAGGGAAGUGAGGAGCGUAGAGCAAGAAUUGAACAAUGGAACCGAGAAAGGGAAGAGAAUCUGUGACCUAACUAGUGGGGUAUUCCUUUCUAGCUGGAGCAUAAAUGAUGAUUGGCCGCAUUUUAAACCUGAUUCCACCUCUGAAACUAUAACUUCACAAUCAUUUAGUCUAAGGUGGGAGCAAAUCUGAUGGCUCUGAAGUGGAGGUUGGUAUAUCCCUUAGAAAUCCACUCUUCAGUGAAGGGAUAAUCUAAGAACCAGAUUACUCCACGUGUACAGCCAAGAUCGCUUCUCAUGCUCCACUUGCUGUGUUUCCAUUGGUCGAAUGACGGCAACACAGUCUAAUGGAUCACAUGUUGCGCGGAACGUUUUUUAUUUGUCCACGUCAUCAAUCGCUAGUAUGUAUGUGGCUUCUGACCAAACCUGCACACAGAGGAACGGUUAUGGUAAAUGUAGAUCAGUCUUUUGCUUGCUCACGAAGCAGCCAAAUACGCGUCCAAGACUGUCGCAUUAUCACGAUAUAUUUGGCCUUCGUUCAGCAUCUAUGAAAAAUAGUCUUCUUCUUCUUUUAUUUUUUCAUUUGUUUGCUUUUGUUUUUAACUUUUGCUAGUAAAUAGUUAUGGAAGAUAACGUGUUUAUCGAA